CGUUCCUACGGGAGGCAGCAGUGGGGAAUAUUGCACAAUGGGGGAAACCCUGAUGCAGCGACGCCGCGUGAGUGAAGAAGUAUCUCGGUACGUAAAGCUCUAUCAGCAGGGAAGAAAAAAAGUCUUUGGCUUUGGACGGUACCUGACUAAGAAGCCCCGGCUAACUACGUGCCAGCAGCCGCGGUAAUACGUAGGGGGCAAGCGUUAUCCGGAUUUACUGGGUGUAAAGGGAGCGCAGGCGGCCUGGCAAGCCUGAUGUGAACUACCGGGGCCCAACCCCGGGGCUGCAUUGGGAACUGCCAGGG
rnacentral:rRNA from 1 species